GACGAACGCUGGCGGCGUGCUUAACACAUGCAAGUCGAACGGAAAGGCCCUGCUUUUGUGGGGUUCUCGAGUGGCGAACGGGUGAGUAACACGUGAGUAACCUGCCCUUGACUUUGGGAUAACUUCAGGAAACUGGGGCUAAUACCGGAUAGGAGCUCCUGCUGCAUGGUGGGGGUUGGAAAGUUUCGGCGGUUGGGGAUGGACUCGCGGCUUAUCAGCUUGUUGGUGGGGUAGGGGCUGACCAAGGCUUUGACGGGUAGCCGGCCUGAGAGGGUGGCCGGCCUCAUUGGGCCUGAGAUACGGCCCAGACUCCUACGGGAGGCAGCAGUGGGGAAUAUUGCACAAUGGGCGGAAGCCUGAUGCAGCAGCGCCGCGUGCGGGAUGACGGCCUUCGGGUUGUAAACCGCUUUCGCCUGUGCCGAAGCGUGAGUGACGGUAAUGGGUAAAGAAGCACCGGCUAACUACGUG
rnacentral:rRNA from 1 species